rnacentral:rRNA from 1 species
UAUUGGACAAUGUGCGAAAGCCUGAUCCACCCAUGCCGCGUGUGUGAAGAAGGUCUUCGGAUUGUAAAGCACUUUUUUUUGGGAGGAAGGGCAGCUGUUAAUACCUUGCUGUUUUGACGUUACCCACAAAAUAAGCACCGGCUAACUUCGUGCCACCAGCCGCGGUAAUACAAAGGGUGCAAGCGUUAAUCGGAA